GAUAUCUGAGGAGGGUCAAACUCCGCGGCUGCAGCAGGGAGUUUCUGCAUGGUUAGUUGUAAAUAUUGUCUCUAAAUAUGUUGUCAAGUUUUUUUCAUAUUUGGUACAAUGUAGCUAACGGCAGCUUUUUACUGUCACAAACACAUACUGUGUCACUUUCUGAAAGUUUUUCAAUAUAUUGUGGAUAGGUGCACCUGUGGAAACUGUGAAACCAUGCCAACAGAAGCUGAAUGUGUUUGUUGCUUGGAGAUCCCACAGGUCACCAGGCGGCUACAGGAGGUUGAUGAAGACCUUACAUGUAUGGUAGACCAUCCAGGGUUUGAGCCGGUCUGCCUAAACAUAUACUCCCUGCAGAAUGCCAGCCAAAUAUACAGAGCUGACUAUGGUCGUUUGCAGCUCAGAGGCAUACACCGUCGUUUCAGGUAUUUGGCAUAUCGCAGCUUUGUGAGCUGGUGCUGGGGCUUCCUGGGACAAAGAAUUCGCGUUGUGAUUCCAGC